UGGGGGGGUGCGGGUGGUAGUACCCCUGGGAAGUACUGGCUUGACCAGGCUCAAUCCUCGCUUGCAUCCAAGAUGCUCUUGAAGUAGUGGAAUGAGAGAGGAAGCAUCGGAAAUACUCUGGGAAGGCUUGGAUUUAUGAACAGCAUCAGCCCCGGCCUCCCCAGCGCAUCCUUUAGGUUUGCACGUAAGGCUGACAGUGGAGAAGGAGCAGAGGCGUGUGUGGCAUAAGGCUUUGUUAUUUUCACAGGCUUUACACGAAUGCGGGAUUCCCUCUCACAGGCCAGGCAGCAGGACAAAUCUGGAUGGAUCCCAAGGAGAGAAAGCAGCGGGGGGGCCAGAGGCAGAAGUAAGGCUGGACCAGGCAGACCUCUCUGACAUGCUGCCGUUCUCCUCCCUCCUGACAGAAAAGGAAAAAAACAGAAGAGGGCAAAACAAGAAUAAUUUGGGUGUAAUUGCCACACACGCGAUUACAAAUACCAUGAACUUGCAAGUCAUGUGAAGAGUACAGUGAUAUAGAAGGUAUCGACAGCCCUCGUUUCAGUUUGGAGACAGAGCUCGCAGACUGACUUUCACAUCGCUAGGAAAUUGUGCUGAUUUGUUACAGAACCGACUCCUACUUACG